CUGAAUGUUGGGCACCUCAAGUUGACAUUUUGCAGUGUGGGCCCCACUGAGUGUGCUGCCCUGGCCUUUGUGCUGCAGCACCUCCGGCGGCCCGUGGCCCUGCAGCUGGACUACAACUCUGUGGGUGACAUUGGCGUGGAGCAGCUGCUGCCUUGCCUUGGUGUCUGCAAGGCUCUGUAUUCUGGGGCAACAGAGUGGGUGACGAGGGGGCCCAGGCCCUGGCUGAAGCCUUGGGUGAUCACCAGAGCUUGAGGUGGCUCAGCUGGUGGGGAACAACAUUGGCAGUGUGGGUGCCCAAGCCUUGGCACUGAUGCUGGCAAAGAACGUCAUGCUAG
rnacentral:lncRNA from 1 species